AUGAUGGACGGGGCUGGAGCGCUACUCCGGAGUCAUCAGAUGGAGCCGCCGCCGCCGUUCUUAGCAAUUUCGGUCACCGUGGCGACCUUGGCUGCUGGCGUAUUCGCCAUAUAUUUCUACGCACCUUCAUGGCGCGUACGUAGGGUCCCCGGUCCGAUGGCUAACCCGCUGAUCGGCCACCUGCCGUUGCUCGCCAAGCACGGCCCGGCGGUGUUCACGGUCCUCAGAGAGAGAUUCGGGCCCAUCUACAGGAAAACCAAACUCCCCUCGCCGCUGCCGGCUUGCGCCACUGGACAAAGCCCGGUUGGUGCUUGUGGAGGUGGGGUCCUCUCUCUCCCUGCCGCGGUAGAGCUCGGCACAUACCGGAGUCCUUGCGUGGAGGCACGGCGCUGGCCUAGGGUGGCGCAGCACCUGGGCAGGCUUGACCAUGUCUGGGCCUCCCUGAGGGCGGAGUGGGUCGUGUCUGUGAUGUGGGAGGGCUGGCGGCGCAUUCUGAUGGUGGGGUGCGCUCGGAGUGGCGGUGAGGGGGAUCCUCUGGUCGCCAUUUCGCGGGUGACAUGGUCCACGGUGGCUCGGGCCGGCCUUCUCCAAUGGCUGCUUGCGUGGAGGCUGCAACAUCGGGCUGUCCUGGGCAUGGGCGGUGCGAGUCAGUGUGGCCAUUCUUCAGUGGCCGCGCCUCGCCGGUGGCACGGUAGGGUGGUUGCAGGCUACCUUCUCCUCGGUCUAUGCCGGUGGCAUGAAGGUGACCGGGGGCUUGCGCUCGGGCGGAUCUGGUCGGGCCUCGAGACAUGGCGGCAUGCGAGGGUGCUCGGCGAGGGCCAUCAGGAGUCACGGAGUUCUGUCCUCCCGUUCCACCGGGACUGUCUGGGCUCACAGGAAUGGGGCACCUACGGUUGUGCCGCCGUCCCAAACUCUGUGUCUAAUGUCGUGCUAGGAGUGGAAGUUUCGGUCUUCUGCUCCUCCCGUUGUCGUUGGUACAUUGUGCUGUGGGCGGUGGGUGAUGUCUUGGACAUGGAUAUCGGGGCGGCGGCUUUGGAUGGCCGGUCGCAUAGUUGGCUCUCUGGCGGGAACCAUGGCGGCGGCGGUGGCUACAUUCUCGGGCUAAAAGGAGUGACAGCUAGGCAUCUUUCGUCUGGUGCUGAUCACCCGAUGCCAUUUUGUCCUCAUGAGCACGGUCGUCUAUAUUGUACGUGUGUGCAUACCUAA
rnacentral:rRNA from 1 species